rnacentral:rRNA from 1 species
GGGCUUUGGCGCAUGCUUACCAUGCAGUCGAACGGCAGCACGGGGGCAACCCUGGUGGCGAGUGGCGAACGGGUGAGUAAUACAUCGGAACGUGUCCUGUAGUGGGGGAUAGCCCGGCGAAAGCCGGAUUAAUACCGCAUACGCUCUACGGAGGAAAGGGGGGGAUCUUAGGACCUCUCGCUACAGGGGCGGCCGAUGGCAGAUUAGCUAGUUGGUGGGGUAAAGGCCUACCAAGGCGACGAUCUGUAGCUGGUCUGAGAGGACGACCAGCCACACUGGGACUGAGACACGGCCCAGACUCCUACGGGAGGCAGCAGUGGGGAAUUUUGGACAAUGGGCGCAAGCCUGAUCCAGCAAUGCCGCGUGUGUGAAGAAGGCCUUCGGGUUGUAAAGCACUUUUGUCCGGAAAGAAAACGUCGUGGUUAAUACCCGUGGCGGAUGACGGUACCGGAAGAAUAAGCACCGGCUAACUACGUGCCAGCAGCCGCGGUAAUACGUAGGGUGCAAGCGUUAAUCGGAAUUACUGGGCGUAAAGCGUGCGCAGGCGGUUCGCUAAGACAGAUGUGAAAUCCCCGGGCUUAACCUGGGAACUGCAUUUGUGACUGGCGGGCUAGAGUAUGGCAGAGGGGGGUAGAAUUCCACGUGUAGCAGUGAAAUGCGUAGAGAUGUGGAGGAAUACCGAUGGCGAAGGCAGCCCCCUGGGCCAAUACUGACGCUCAUGCACGAAAGCGUGGGGAGCAAACAGGAUAA